UGGCUCAUUACAACAGCCGUCGUUKCUUGGAUCUCUUAUUUUACUUGGAUAACUGUGGUAAUUCUAGAGYUAAUACACGCACUAAAGYUCCGACCUUACGGGACGAGCGCAUUUAUUAGAACAARACCAAUCGGGUUUCGGCCCGUUCGUUGGUGACUCUGAAUAACUACGCCGAUCGCACGGUCUCGCACCGGCGACGCAUCUUUCAAGUGUCUGCSUUAUCAACUUUCGAUGGUAGUUUAUGUGCCUACCAUGGUUGUAACGGGUAACGGAGAAUAAGGGUUCGACUCCGGAGAGGGAGCCUGAGAAACGGCUACCACAUCCAAGGAAGGCAGCAGGCGCGCAAAUUACCCACUCUCGGCACGAGGAGGUAGUGACGAAAAAUAACGAGACGGAUCUCUUUGAGGCCCGUUAUCGGAAUGAGAACAAUUCAAAUCCUUUAACGAGGAUCUAGCGGAGGGCAAGUCUGGUGCCAGCAGCCGCGGUAAUUCCAGCUCCGCAGGUGUAUAUCUAUGCUGCUGCGGUUAAAAAGCUCGUAGUUGGAUCUGCGUGCUCGGAACCGGUUGGCUCACUGAGUUCAAACUGGUCUCCGGCGCUUUAUCGGCUGGUUUUCCCUUGAUGCUCUUAACCGGGUGUCUUGGGUGGCUAGCACGUUUACUUUGAAAAAAUUAGAGUGCUCAAUACAGGCGCAAAGCCUUGAAUAGUGGUGCAUGGAAUAAUGGAAUAGGACCUCGGUUCUAUUUUGUUGGUUUUCSGAACGCGAGGUAAUGAUUAAGAGGGACAGACGGGGGCAUUCGUAUUGCGACGUUAGAGGUGAAAUUCUUGGAUCGUCGCAAGACGGACGACUGCGAAAGCAUUUGCCAA
rnacentral:rRNA from 1 species